AAUCAACGCUGGCGGCGUGCCUAACACAUGCAAGUUGAGCGCUUGAGGGGGGCAACCCCCAAGAGAGCAGCGAACGGGUGAGUAACGCGUGGGUGAUCUUCCUUCGAGUGGGGAACAACAUCGGGAAACUGGUGCUAAUUCCGCAUAAUACCCUGGGGCUACGAGCCUCAGGAUCAAAGCCGGGGACCGUAAGGCCUGGCGCUUGAAGAUGAGCCCGCGUCCGAUUAGCUAGUUGGCGGGGUAAUGGCCCACCAAGGCUUCGAUCGGUAGCCGGCCUGAGAGGGCGGACGGCCACACUGGAACUGAGACACGGUCCAGACUCCUACGGGAGGCAGCAGUGGGGAAUUUUUCGCAAUGGGCGCAAGCCUGACGAAGCAACGCCGCGUGGAGGAUGAAGGUCUUCGGAUUGUAAACUCCUGUCGACCGGGACGAAUGCACCCAACCUAAUACGUUGAAGUGUUGACGGUACCGGUGGAGGAAGCCACGGCUAACUCUGUGCCAGCAGCCGCGGUAAUACAGAGGUGGCAAGCGUUGUUCGGAAUUACUGGGCGUAAAGGGCGCGUAGGCGGCCCUAUAAGUCUCGUGUGAAAGCCCUCGGCUUAACUGAGGAUCUGCACGGGAUACUGUAGGGCUCGAGUUCGGGAGANGAAAGCGGAAUUNCNGGUGGUAGCGGUGAAAUGCGUAGAUAUCCGGAGGAACACCAGUGGGCGAANGCGGCUUUCUGGGACCGACACUGACGCUGAGGCGCGAAAGCUAGGGGAGCAAACGGGAUUAGAUACCCCGGUAGUCUAAAGANACAGUUUUCCUUCGGGNACCCNAUAUANAGGUGCUGCAUGGCUGUCGUCAGCUCGUGUCGUGAGAUGUUGGGUUAAGUCCCCGCAACGAGCGCAACCCUCGCNUCCUGUUGCCAACAGAUAAUGCUGGGCACUCUGGAGAGACUGCCGGUGACAAACCGGAGGAAGGUGGGGAUGACGUCAAGUCCUCAUGGCCUUUAUGCCCCGGGCUACACACGUGCUACAAUGGUCGGUACAAAGGGUUGCAAUACCGUGAGGUGGAGCUAAUCCCAAAAAACCGAUCCCAGUUCGGAUUGGAGUCUGCAACUCGACUCCAUGAAGCUGGAAUCGCUAGUAAUCGCGGAUCAGAAUGCCGCGGUGAAUACGUUCCCGGGCCUUGUACACACCGCCCGUCACAUCACGAAAGCCGGCUGUACUAGAAGUCGCUGCGCUAACCCGCAAGGGGGGCAGGCGCCCACGGUAUGGUCGGUGAUUGGGGUGAAGUCGUAACAAGGUAACCGUAAGUCGUAACAAGGUAACCGUACCAGAGAGUUUGAUCAUGGCUCAGUACGGCUAGAGUUUGAUCCUGGCUCAGUCGUAACAAGGUAGCCGUAAAGUCGUAACAAGGUAGCCGUAAAGUCGUAACAAGGUAGCCGUAAGUCGUAACAAGGUAACCGUAAGUCGUAACAAGGUAACCGUACCAGAGAGUUUGAUCAUGGCUCAGUACGGCUAGAGUUUGAUCCUGGCUAAGUCGUAACAAGGUAACC
rnacentral:rRNA from 1 species